GUGGUAUGAUUGCCAAUGAGACAACUAUCCACAAAAGACCAAAAGGACACAGACAUUUACAACUAUAGGUCACCGAUUAGACAUUUAAACGAGAAAACCAACUCCUUAUUUAUGUAAAAAAAAAAAAAAAAAAAAAAAAAAAAAAAAAAAUGAACGAAAAACAAACGUGUAUCACAUAAACAAACGACAACUGAACCACAG
rnacentral:lncRNA from 1 species